UGCAUUUCUUUAGGUCCCUUGUUUGGUGAAAGACAGCCUUCUCGAAUAAUACUAUUUUGCAGCAAGAUUUAGCUUUCUGUGACAAGGAAACCAAUAUGGGAGAGGUGGUGGGGCGGAUGUCUGGUGACACUGUUCUUGUACAAGACGCAAUGGGGGAGUAGGUAGGGAAAUUUGUACCGCUGAUAUUAACAUGCCUUGCGGGCUUUGUCAUUGCAUUUACCAAAGGCUGGCUUCUCACAGUUGUUAUGUUAUCCAUCAUUCCUCUACUUGUCAUCUUUGGUGGAGUGAUGUCCCUCAUCCUAUCUAGGAUGGUGCCCCGUGGACAAGAUGCUUAUGCCAAGGCAGCAAGACAAUAGGCUCCUUUAAAAUGAAAAUAACCACCAGUAGAUGAGAUUGAUCUUGUUUCCUCGUCAGGCUGCAUCUUUUACAGGGGAGAAGCAAGUUGUGGCCAGCUAUAACGAGUCCCUAAUUAAAGAUUACCAUUCAGGGUCAAAUGAAGGGCUGUUAAGUGGAUUAGGUCUUGGGUCACAUUUUGCUAUUAUGUACUCCAGCUAUGCUUUGGCUAUCUGGUACGGUGCAAGGUUCAUCUUGGAAAAAGAUAUAUUGGUGGUCAAGUUCUCUAUGUUUCUGACACGAAGCUUCUCCAAUAAGUAGCAAGCAAUUUACUUUUUAAGGUUGAAGCCAAAGGAACUUUCUGUUUAGACGGCUUUUGCUGCAGGAUGUAGAACUCCCAAAAAGUGGAAAAGCGUAGGAGGAAUGGGGGCUGUUAGGCUUGUUUUCAAUUUGAAGCUGAAGUGCCAGAAAGCAAUACUACAAGAAAGGCUCUAUGCCUAUUCCUAACUUCUGAUGUAACUGCUUAAAAGUUGAAACUGAAGAAAGUUGAAGAGCUGUGAAACCCCUAUUCUUCACGGUUCAGAUCGUUUACUUAUGUACUGGAACAUUUGGAGAAGAGAGUGUGAAGGUGACAUGCAAGAAGGAAGAAAAAGAAUAAAACUGGAAAUAAACCUCUGUUCUCUUUCGGUUUGAUAGUGAGAUUUCAUUUAGUUUGUACCAUAGUACUAUGUUUUUUUUAAAAAAAAUGAGAACACACAAAGGUUUCAUUAGCACUCCCUAAAUCAGCACCACUUUUUUAAGGGUCACCAAUUAGUUUGCUCUAUGCUAUCUUUGUUUAUCUCGUUAAAUAUAUACUGACGUGAAAGGAAGUAUUAUGUUGUGCUUGAUUGGUGGAACAUCACAACUGAUAUCUUCUUCUCAGUUGAGAAAAACUUGGUCCAUAUAGUUGUGCUUCUUAUGCAACCAAUGUUCUAAAUGAAACUUACAAGAUGACUGAUUUAUUGCUCCAACAUAGUGCUUUUAUUUUACUCUUUUAAAAUUUUCAUUCUUUUAAAGUGCAUUUCCGUU